CGCAAAUGACGGCGGCAAAAGCCCAGCAACACCUGUCACUCCAGAGACGCCAAGAAAAUGCCGAGGUCGGACAAGAGCUUCAGGCAUCGGCGCGGGAAACACGGAAAUUGGUCAAAGCGACCCCCUUGGAAUCAUUUGUGGAGAGAUAACCGGGGGUGAAAAACGCAUGGUAUAUAUAUACACGGCAUGCGGCUACGUCUGACAUAUGGUCGUUGGUCCCCAGUGAUCCAGCCAGAGUCCUCAUGAGUUUUCAAUGAGAUUAACGGGCCAUCUGUGCAAUCCGGGUAUAAGCGUAUCGACGGCACUUUAACAAAGCAACCUGUUAUUAAAGGUGUAUACGCAAUAUGUGACUAACUGGAGCUCAAAUGAAAGCAGAGUAAAUACACAGUGGAUUGAAUAGAAGGGGAGCAAAGUCGAUCAUCAUUGAUUGUAUAUGCGAACAUAUAUCUACUCUCCGUUAGGGCUAUCGGUGUGUAUAUUUGAGACCCAUAUGGAGCCUGCCGUCCGCGCAUAUGCCACGACAACACCGCUAACGAGCACACUAUGACCGAGAUCUAAGCCUCAAACUGUAUCGCAAAGUCGAUUAAUAUUUUCACCAGUGGUGAGUUUUUUAAAAAUUUAAUUUCGUUUUAUUUUAACAAUGAUUUGAUGCAGAGGAAAUGCUGCGGACAGCUGGCAAUUUUAUUUAAUCUACUGCUAUUAUGUAUUUAUAUAACUGCAAUAUAUCAUCGAUUCACUUGAUAUUAUCAGGCUGUCCCUGAAUUAAUCUUGUUUGUUAAAUCCAGCAUUUAAUCAUCGCAACAUUUUCCGUAAAUCCUCGAAACAGAUUUCGGUGUGAUAUUAAUUUACAUUUAUUUUAAUUAAUCAUUUUUACUGGUACACCAAGUACCACCAUUAAUUAUUUAGCUAGUGCGCAGACACCGAUUGCGACAGUAUAAUGUGAUGAAUUUAUUUAUGUGCGAAAUAAAUAGUAAGGAACAAAAUUAAAUGUUAAUAUAAGUAAAAGAGUAAGUGA